GUUGGAGAGGGUUUCUAGCAGAUCUUCAGCUCGGUGCCAAGGUAAAGAAGGGCUCUGCCUCUUGCUGGACACUCGUGCUGGGCUGGGACCUCCUGAGUAGCUGGAACGGCAGGUGUGGGCCAACACGUCUGGAUAAUCACAGCUGGCUUCUCAAUAUUGCUGUUUGAUGCGAUCCUGACCAGUGCAACUGUGGGAUGCCUCCUGCUCGGUGCACUUGGAGAGGCCUUGCUGGUUUUCUCGGAGCGGAAGGGGUCCUGAAGAAGACAGCCAAGAGGAUACUCACAGCCUGCGGCGGGAGAACGUCACCCCGGCCUCAUCGCUCCCUGUUGAGUGUGUCAGAAAGAGGAACGAAAGGACAGUGAGGCCAGGUGGGCAGCGCCAUCGCCCCCACCCAAAUGAAUAUGGUGUUGGCUGAUGAGGCCGAGGCCCUGCUGCUUCCAGGAGCGCCCUUUCUGGGGGUCUGCAGGCUGUUGCAGAGGAGCUGUCUGUUCUGUCUUCCCAUUUGGAGAACCUCUCUCAACCGUGCUGUAGCUGGUUCUGCAGAAACAGGAAGUACAGGAUUUCACGGGCUGGCUCUGCUUGCCUUGACUGAGUGUCAGGCCUGUGGAUACCAGCCGCUGUCUCCCAAACAUGGCUUUCGGUGCGAGGUAGAGGGCCUGAGGGGUUUGGUUGUCAAUUUUUUUUUUCAUUUAUAAAGUUUUAAAUUUUUAAAA